rnacentral:misc_RNA from 1 species
GUAGGUGAACCUGCGGAAGGAUCAUUAACACGUUUAUGUUCCAAACGUUUUCUGACCCCUUUCUUUCUGUGAACCAAACCAUUUAACCGGCCGUUCCUUUUUUUCUAAGUUUCCUGAGCAAUUGGGAAGCAGUGAGAGAGGGAAAGCGUCCUUUUUUUGAUUCUCUUCGCAAGAAAGAGGAGAAAUCGGGACGUCAGGUCAACCUCACCCAACCUUAAAUCUAAUUGUUCUGAACUCUUUAGUUGAUGGGGAAACCCGGUCAACGAAUUAAAAACAAACAACAACUCUUAACAACGGAUAUCUUGGUUCUC